GGACUAUCCGCCCGGGUACUACGAGCUUUAGCUUAAAACCCAAAGGACUUGGCGGUGCUUAAGAUCCGUCUAGAGGAGCCUGUUCUAGAACCGAUACCCCACGUUUGACCUCACCCUCUUUGUUUAAAGCCUAUAUACCGCCGCCGUAAGCCCACCCUGAGGUCUAGUAGUAGGCUAAAUUGGUAUGACCCAAAAUGCCAGGUCGAGGUGUAGCGCAUGAGAGGGAAAGCAAUGGGCUACAUUUCCUUACCAGG
rnacentral:rRNA from 1 species